AGCAGCCGCGGUAAUUCCAGCUCCAAUAGCGUAUAUUAAAGUUGUUGCAGUUAAAAAGCUCGUAGUUGAAUUUCGGGAUUAGUACGCUGGUCAUGCCUUUGGUAUGUACUGGUGUUACUGAUUCCUACCUUCUGAAGAACCGUUAUGUCAUUCAUUUGGUGUGGCGGGGAAUCAGGACUGUUACUUUGAAAAAUUAGAGUGUUUAAAGCAGGCUCGCGCUUGAAUACAUUAGCGUGGAAUAAUGAAAUAGGACGUUGAUCCUAUUUUGUUGGUUUCUAGGAUUGACGUAAUGAUUAAUAGGGAUAGUUGGGGGCAUUAGUAUUCAAUUGUCAGAGGUGAAAUUCUUGGAUUUAUUGAAGACUAACUACUGCGAAAGCAUUUGCCAAGGAUGUUUUCAUUAAUCAAGAACGAAAGUUAGGGGAUCGAAGACGAUCAGAUACCGUCGUAGUCUUAACCAUAAACUAUGCCGACUAGGGAUCGGAUGAUGUUAAUUUUUUAAUGACUCAUUCGGCGCCUUACG
rnacentral:rRNA from 1 species